AGCCUUUGUGUUGCCCAUUCACUUUCGGAAACUAGUGAAUGUGGUGUCAAAAAAGGCAUACAUUAACACUUAGCAGGCUUUUUCCUGCCUUUGAACUUGAUGUCAUGGGCUUAGGAACUGCCUAAGUAACAAUA
rnacentral:snoRNA from 12 species